rnacentral:rRNA from 1 species
UACGUAGGGUGCGAGCGUUGUCCGGAAUUAUUGGGCGUAAAGAGCUCGUAGGCGGUUUGUUGCGUCGGCCGUGAAAACUUGGGGCUUAACCCCGAGCUUGCGGUCGAUACGGGCAGACUUGAGUUCGGCAGGGGAGACUGGAAUUCCUGGUGUAGCGGUGAAAUGCGCAGAUAUCAGGAGGAACACCGGUGGCGAAGGCGGGUCUCUGGGCCGAUACUGACGCUGAGGCGCGACAGCGUGGGGAGCAAACAGG